rnacentral:rRNA from 1 species
GACGAACGCUGGCGGCGUGCUUAACACAUGCAAGUCGAGCGGUAAGGCCCUUUCGGGGGUACGACGAGCGGCGAACGGGUGAGUAACACGUGGGUGACCUGCCCUCAGCUCUGGGAUAAGCCCGGGAAACCGGGUCUAAUACUGGAUAUGACUCCAUGACGCAUGUUGUGGGGUGGAAAGCCUUGUGCGGCUGAGGAUGGGCCCGCGGCCUAUCAGCUUGUUGGUGGGGUGAGGCCUACCAAGGCGACGACGGGUAGCCGGCCUGAGAGGGCGACCGGCCACACUGGGACUGAGACACGGCCCAGACUCCUACGGGAGGCAGCAGUGGGGAAUCUUGCGCAAUGGGCGAAAGCCUGACGCGGCGACGCCGCGUGAGGGAUGACGGCCU